rnacentral:rRNA from 1 species
GUAACGGCGAGUGAAGAGGGAAGAGCCCAAGAUUGAAAGCUGGCGUCUUCGGCGUCCGCAUUGUAAUCUCAAGAAGUGUUUUCCGCUUCGGACCAUGCCUAAGUCCCUUGGAAAAGGGCAUCAUAGAGGGUGAUAAUCCCGUACAUGGCAUGGAGCGCCCGAGGCUUUGUGAUACGCUUUCUAAGAGUCGAGUUGUUUGGGAAUGCAGCUCAAAAUGGGUGGUAAAUGCCAUCUAAGGCUAAAUAUUGGGGAGAGACCGAUAGCGAACAAGUACAGUGAUGGAAAGAUGAAAAGAACUUUGAAAAGAGAGUUAAACAGUACGUGAAAUUGCCAAAAGGGAAGGGUAGGAGGUCAGAGAUGCGUCUUGGGAUUCAGCCUUGCUUUUGCUUGGUGUUUUUCCCAAGUUGCAGGCCAACGUCGGUUUUGGGCACUGGAGAAGGGUGGAAGGAACGUGGCACCUCUCGGGGUGUGUUAUAGCCUUCUACUGGAUACAGCGACCGAGACCGAGGACAGCAGCGUACUCGCAAGAGCGGGCCUUCGGGCACCUUUACGCUUAGGGCGUUGGCAUAAUGGCCCUCUACCACCCGUCUUGAAACACGGACCAA